rnacentral:rRNA from 1 species
CCUACGGGAGUCUGCAGUGGGGAAUAUUGGACAAUGGGCGAAAGCCUGAUCCAGCCAUGCCGCGUGUGUGAAGAAGGCCUUCGGGUUGUAAAGCACUUUCAGUGGGGAAGAAAGCCUUGGGGCUAAUACCCUCGAGGAAGGACAUCACCCACAGAAGAAGCACCGGCUAACUCCGUGCCAGCAGCCGCGGUAAUACGGAGGGUGCGAGCGUUAAUCGGAAUUACUGGGCGUAAAGCGCGCGUAGGCGGUCUGAUAAGCCGGUUGUGAAAGCCCCGGGCUCAACCUGGGAACGGCAUCCGGAACUGUCAGGCUAGAGUGCAGGAGAGGAAGGUAGAAUUCCCGGUGUAGCGGUGAAAUGCGUAGAGAUCGGGAGGAAUACCAGUGGCGAAGGCGGCCUUCUGGACUGACACUGACGCUGAGGUGCGAAAGCGUGGGUAGCAAACAGGAUUAGAUACCCUAGUAGUC